rnacentral:rRNA from 1 species
AUGAAGGCUUCGGGUCGUAAAGCACUUUCGCCAGGGAUGAUAAUGACAGUACCUGGUAAAGAAACCCCGGCUAACUCCGUGCCAGCAGCCGCGGUAAUACGGAGGGGGUUAGCGUUGUUCGGAAUUACUGGGCGUAAAGCGUACGUAAGCGGAUCAGAAAGUUGGGGGUGAAAUCCCGGGGCUCAACCCCGGAACUGCCUCCUAAACUCCUGGUCUUGAGUUCAAGAGAGGUGAGUGGAAUUCCAAGUGUAGAGGUGAAAUUCAUAUAUAUUUGGAGGAACACCAUUGGCGAAGGCGGCUCACUGGCUCGAUACUGACGCUGAGGUCCUAAAGCGUGGGGAGCAAACAGGAUUAGAUACCCUGGUAGUCCAC